rnacentral:misc_RNA from 1 species
GCCGUUCAGAAAAUGACGGAGAUUGCGCCAUGGAACUCUCAUCCAGCCCAAUGACCGACCGGCAGCGUAAAUACCGGGCCACCUACAGGGAUCGCAUCGCUGGCUGGUACAAUGGCUGGCUCCACGCCUUCGUCAUUUAUGUGAUCGGGCUCACUGCCCUCUCGGUCUACAUCGCCAACAUCGGCAAUGUUCGCUGGUGGGAAUGGCUGAUCGUGCCUGUCACCUUCCUGGCGGCAAAUUUCUUCGAAUGGUGGAUUCACCGGUUCGUCAUGCACCGACCGUCG